UACAGAGGUCUCAAGCGUUGUUCGGAUUCAUUGGGCGUAAAGGGUGCGUAGGCGGCGCGGUAAGUCGGGUGUGAAACCUCGGGGCUUAACUCCGAAACUGCAUUCGAUACUGCCGUGCUUGAGGACUGGAGAGGAGACUGGAAUUUACGGUGUAGCGGUGAAAUGCGUAGAUAUCGUAAGGAAGACCAGUGGCGAAGGCGGGUCUCUGGACAGUUCCUGACGCUGAGGCACGAAGGCCAGGGGAGCAAACGGG
rnacentral:rRNA from 1 species